rnacentral:rRNA from 1 species
AACCCCGGGAWACUGGGGAUAGUACCGGAUAUUUASGAGUUCCUGGAAUGGUCUUCUAUUUAAAGUUCAGGCGCCUAAGGAUGGAUCUGCGGCAGAUUAGGUAGUUGGUGGGGUAAUGGCCCACCAAGCCUUUGAUCUGUACGGGUUGUGAGAGCAAGAGCCCGGAGAUGGAACCUGAGACAAGGUUCCAGGCCCUACGGGGCGCANCAGGCGCGAAACCUCCGCAAUGCACGAAAGUGCGACGGGGGGACCCCAAGUGCCACUCUUAACGGGGUGGCUUUUUUAGAGUGUAAAAAGCUUUAAGAAUAAGAGCUGGGCAAGACCGGUGCCAGCCGCCGCGGUAACACCGGCAGCUCGAGUGGUGGCCAUUUUUAUUGGGCCUAAAGCGUUCGUAGCCGGCCUGAUAAGUCUCUGGUGAAAUCCCAUAGCUUAACUGUGGGAAUUGCUGGAGAUACUAUUAGGCUUGAGGCCGGGAGAGGUUAGGGGUACUCCCAGGGUAGGGGUGAAAUCCUAUAAUCCUGGGAGGACCACCUGUGGCGAAGGCGCCUAACUGGAACGGACCUGACGGUGAGUAACGAAAGCCAGGGGCGCGAACCGGAUUAGAUACCCGGGUAGUCCUGGCCGUAAACGAUGUGGACUUGGUGUUGGAAUGGCUUCGAGCUGCUCCAGUGCCGAAGGGAAGCUGUUAAGUCCACC